rnacentral:rRNA from 1 species
UACGGAGGGGGCAAGCGUUGUUCGGAAUUACUGGGCGUAAAGGGCGCGCAGGCGGCUGCUCAAGUCAGGCGUGGAAAGGCCUGGGCUCAACCCGGGAAUUGCGCUUGAGACUGGGCUGGCUUGAGUGCGGGAGAGGAUGGUGGAAUUCCCAGUGUAGAGGUGAAAUUCGUAGAUAUUGGGAAGAACACCGGUGGCGAAGGCGGCCAUCUGGACCGCAACUGACGCUGAGGCGCGAAAGCGUGGGGAGCAACAGG